UUCGAGGCUAGAGUCACGCCCUUACAUUUCCGUUGUUUUGGUGUGCUAGAGCUUUCGGAGAGUAAUCACUGAUAUUAUUCACUGGCUGUGACUUUUGUAGCCCAGUCAGCCACAAAAUUAGUGACAUCA